ACUCCUACGGGAGGCAGCAGUGGGAGUAUUGCACAAUGGGAACCGGACUGCAGCCAUGCCGCGUGUGUGAAGAAGGCCUUCGGGUUGUAAAGCACUUUCAGCGAGGAGGAAAGGGUGUAAGUUAAUACCUUACAUCUGUGACGUUACUCGCAGAAGAAGCACCGGCUAACUCCGUGCCAGCAGCCGCGGUAAUACGGAGGGUGCGAGCGUUAAUCGGAAUUACUGGGCGUAAAGCGUGCGCAGGCGGUUUGUUAAGCGAGAUGUGAAAG
rnacentral:rRNA from 1 species